CCCCUGCCCACCUCCUUCUCCCUCCAUUGUUGCAGCCACCAAAACCCUAGCCGCCCCCCCAAUCCCCUCCUCCCUAGGUGCUACUCCGUGCCGCUCGGAUCAUCGUCUUUUGGUGCGAAUCUCCAAUCGUUUUGGUGGAAGGAAGAAGGGAGGAAGGAAAAGGGGAGAACCCAAGGUGAUUUUUCUUUUGUGUUCAUCCCUUGUUCAUUUGCGCUGCGAUUCAAUUGAUUAGAUGUUGCGUUUGCGAUUAGAUGGGGGGGCUGUCCAGAAUUUUGCGUGGUGGAUGAACAGCGGUAGUUCCAGCAGUUUUUAGUUUUUUUUCGUGAAGAUUUAAUGGGGAUCAAUUUGGGAAUCUUGUAGAACUUUGUUUUAUCUUUCCAACGAGUAUUUAUGCGCUCAAUUUGGAGUUAUAAAUUAAAAGUUAUCAUCGUUUGAAUCCGGGUAUGUGGCUGUCCAGAAAACAGAUUUUUCAGAGUGAUGAACAGCAGCAGUGUUAGCAGUUUCUGGGGAUUUUUCGGGAGCAAUUAGUGUUAAUCAGUAUGAGAAUCUUGUAGCACUUUGUUUUAUCUUUCCAACGAGUAUUUAUGCGCUCAAUUUGGAGUUAUAAAUUAAAAGUUAUCAUCGUUUGAAUCCGGGUAUGUGGCUGUCCAGAAAACAGAUUUUUCAGAGUGAUGAACAGCAGCAGUGUUAGCAGUUUCUGGGGAUGUUUCGGGAGUAAUUAGUGUUAAUCAGUAUGAGAAUCAUGUAGGGCUUUUUCUUAUCUUUCCAACAAGUACUUAUGCGCUCAAAUCGGAAUUAUAUUUUAAAAGUUAUCGCUGUUUGAAUCCGCGUAUGUCGCUGCUCAAAUAAAAAAAACAGAUUGCAGGGUUUAUUUUGAGGACCGUUUAGAGGUAAGUAGAUGUUAGAAUUCAAUCAUGGGUUGUAUACAAAACUUGUGGGGAAUUUUAUGUAGUUGUCUCUGAAGUUUUUGUUUAUCAUCACUGCUGUCCUAAAUUUUAAGUUAUGGAAUUGUUAAGCAGCCGCUGCAGUUUGGUUAGUGAGGGGAGAGUUGUUACCGCGGCGGGGUUUGAAAUUGCGCGUAGGUGCGGUGUUGUCUUUGAGUUUUUUUUCAUGAGAAUUUGGUGCACUAAGUUGGGUGUCAAAAACAGGUGGUGGACUUCUGGAUCGUUCUUAGGGAUUUUGCCCGAACUUCGGUAGAGGCAAGUAAAACAGUGAUGGUUAUUUCGUCUUUUGAUUGAAGAGGCUCAUACUUGAUUAUGUUUGUGCUAUUUGUGUUCGUAUCCAUAUUCCUAAUUGGGUACCAUCGUUUGAAAUUAUUCAUGCUUUAUUGAUUAUACAUGUGGAGGGUGUGGUUUGAUCAUGUUACCCAUGUGGUUAUUGAUGUGAAAUGGGUGGAAGUAUAUGUCUAGCACAUUUUAUUUGGGAAGAACUCAUGUUGUUGACAUGCAUAAUGCAUUCAUCAUCCAUUGCAUUGAAGUUUUCGUCGCGAUCUUAUGGUCCGACCGUACCGGUACAAUGAGCAUCAUAUGUUUCCCGAGAAGGGGUAUGAUGCAGCUUCAUAUCCUUAGAGGUAUGAAGGCAGAAGUCAUGUUGCAUCUGUAGCCAUGUGCAUUCAUGGGUGAAGUGUGGAACCUAUUUUGGUGAUGUGGAUGUUGGGGGCCUUCGUCCUCCGAAGGUCCUCAAAAACAUGAUUUGACAAUGUUUUCCGAGUGGAUUAUGUGAACAGGUAUUUUCGGAUCCAGAAUUAUGAAUAUGGAGCACGGCCAGGACGAAGCCUGAACCAGACGAAGGUCGAGUGUAGCCGAAGCUGUGCGCAGGGAAGCUUCGGCGCGAUGGCAGAAGGGGGAACCGACUUAAAGAUGAAAAGACUUCGGGGGCCUCGACAGAUUUCCAUAAGCCGUUAACAAAUGUAAUGGACAUGGAUGUAAUUUUACGUGGGCUGCGUCCCGCGUCUAUAAAUAGAUGAAUAGUACUCCCGUACUGUUCACGCUGACUUGGCAUUGGCUUUUGCAUCACGCUUGUACUUUUUACCUUCUCUCAGGACCAAAGGUACAUUUGUAAUUUAAAAUCAUUUCUAUUUCUCCAUGUUAAUAAAAUAGAAAUGAUUUUAUGUUGAUGUUUGUAUUUCAUGCUUUAUAUGAAUCCUUCGGCAUUACUUAUUAUAUUCCCGAAGGUAUGUCUAUGAUAACCUUCGUCCUAAAUCAUUAUUUCCCGAAGGGACAUAAUGUUUCGAAGGACGAAGGACCUUAAUGUGUAACACUUUUUAUGUUGCCUUGUUCUUAAUUCGAAGCAUUUGAGAACAAGUCACCAACAUUGGCGCCCACCUCCGGUGAACUCACUUCCACUUCGAGUCUUCGUGAACACCUUCGGAAGCUAUAGACCUUCGCUAUGGCGCCGAAGAAAGCUUCAGCGGCUGGGGCUGCAGCACUACAACCGCUGGACCACAACCAGGAGACCGUCUCUCUUCGGGAGGCCAGAAGCCAGAAGAGAAAAGCUGUUAGCCCGACGCUUGAGGAAGAAGAGCUAGACCAAGAAAUCAGAGAGAUGGAGAUGCUACAUCAACAAGUGCAGAGGAAGAAGGAGAAGAUGGCCCGCCUAGCUGAGUUGCAAAGGCAAAUUGACGAAGCUUCUGAGGAAGUUCGCCAUCUCACUCACGAUGAGCAGAACAGAAGGCCUCAUCAGAAAGACCUCCAUCAGGAGGGCUUCGUCAACGAAGACGACUGGUAUGAUAAUUUCCAUCAGGGAAAUUUUGUUUUUGAUGAUGCUUCUCCUCUGUCUGCUGAGCUGCAGGCUACACCUUGGCCUCCAUCCUAUAAGCCACCCCAGCUCCCCAUGUUUGACGGCCACUCCGACCCGAAGCAAUUCUUGAUGAGCUACGAAGCAACAGUGUCUUCGUACGGGGGCAACGCUGCAAUCAUGGCGAAGUCUUUCGUCAUGGCCGUCAGGAAUGUUGCUCAGACCUGGUAUUCCUCCCUUCGGCCAGGAACAAUCACUUCAUGGCAGAAGCUGAAGGAUAUGUUACUGACCAGCUUUCAAGGAUUUCAAACGAAGUCGGUUACAGCUCAAGCCCUCUUCCAGUGUAUUCAGGAUCACGAAGAAUACCUUCAGGCGUAUGUCCGAAGGUUCUUACGAUUGAGGGCGCAGGCACCAACGGUGCCCAAUGAAAUCGUUAUCGAAGCCAUGAUCAAGGGGCUCCGUCCUGGACCUGCAGCUCAAUACUUUGCUCGGAAGCCUCCUCAGACCUUGGAGAAAUUGCUCCAAAAGAUGGAUGAGUACAUUCGUGCUGACAAUGACUUUCGCCAAAGAAGGGAGGAGGCCUUCAGAUUUUCUGAGAUGACCAGGGGCUUCGGAGGAAGAUACUACCCGAGGCAUGUCCGUUCCAUUCACAACACCCAGAAUGAUGAUAAGGGGAGUCAGCAAAACAGGCCGCAGUGCUCCUCACAGGCUUCGGGGCAACAACAAACUUUCUUUCGGCCACCAGCUCCAAGAGGCAGAGGCGCCAGGGGCUUCGGCGGAAGAUUCGGAGAUCAGCCAAGGAGACUGUUUUGCCUAUUCUGUGGAGAGGGCAAGGGCCACACCACUAGGACGUGCCAUGUUACAAUCCAGAAGCAAAAGGAACUAGCCGAAGCUGCAUCUCAACAAGCUCAGUCGAAGCAGGUUAUGCAUACUGCUUCGUUUCAUCCGCCUUAUGUCCCACAAUACAUAGACAACCACCCUGCGGCUUCUGUAGCUUCGGCAAGUCAACCUCAAGCUUCCUGGCAGCAGCUUCCGCCUCCACCUCCAUUGCAGCAAGGUCAACAGCCAGAAGGGAGUCAAUACGCUCCACAUCAGAGGGACUUCAGAGAACAGUCCGAAGCUCGCACAGUCAACAGCACUGUGCCAGAGUCGAAGCACAUUUAUUGACAUAUCCUACCUUUGAUAGCAGUCUUUUCUAUUCAGUUUUAUUUUCUGUGAAGCAAAAAACAUUGAUAGUUUUCAUGUAAUAAUUUCGUUGUUUCCCACGAGGAAAAUCUAUUUGCUCCACAGGCCUAAGUUGCUGAAGCCUAAAACUUUUUCCGUUACCAAGGAGGACCUUCGGAUUAAAAAUCCUUCGGAGUAACAGAAAGUCGUUCUAAGGAACGCAGAGUAAGUUUAUGAAGUCACAAAAAGCCGUUCCAAAGGGAGCGCAGUGUAAGUUUUCUGCUCAGAAGUCGUUCCUAAAGGAAUGCAGAGCCUACAGCGAAAAGUCAACGCUGAUACCGCCUAAGUAAAAGGCGAAGAAGCUCCUAAGGGAGGCUUACAGCGAAAAGUCAACGCUGAUACCGCCUAAGUAAAAGGCGAAGAAGCUCCUAAGGGAGGCUUACAGCGAAAAGUCAACGCUGAUACCGUCUAAGUAAAAGACGAAGAAGCUCCAAAGACGUUCCCAAGGGAAUGCAGAGCUUACGAAUAUAUUUUAUGUGUAUCUCCGGAACAAAUGUCACAUGCAUAACAUAACAUCAUCACAUCAUUUUGCAUAGCAUAAGCAUCAUACAUCAUAUUGCAUUUGGCAAGAGAAGGAGAUACUCUCAACCUUCGAAAGGAUGCUUUGAGAAAGUGACAUCGAAAUUGUACAGCUUCGGAAUACAGCUUCGGAGAAUAUUUUUACGAAACAUGGGCGAGCUUUAUCAGAUCAAUAUCGAAGUUAUAUAGCUCCGGAGUAUAGCUUCGAAGAAUGUUUUGACGAAGCAUGGAUGUGAUUCAUCAGAAUAAUUUUAACGGAGAAUGCCUUCUUCACGAAGCAUGAAAAGAAGGGAAGGUGUUUUUUCGCCAAAGGCUCAAAAAUGGUAUGUAUUUAAUGUUUCAUGCAUCGUAAAGAAUUCAAUAAUGAAAGGAGACUUGUAUAUUACAUUCAAAUGUACAAAGUGUUACAUAGAUUACACUUUAAAUGAUUUUUCCAAAUAGCAUCUAAUCUUCUCUCAAUACUUCUUCGGCGGCCUCAUUUAGAAGUUGGUCAACAACCUUGUCCAAGAUAGUUUCGGCCAUUUGUUUAAUUUCUUCGUCGACAUUUGAUCCAGCAGUUUCUGAGGGAAGAGAACAUUUCUUCAUUACUUUUGCAAACCUUGAGCAAAAGUUUGGAAUAAAAAUUACAACACAAUAAGAGCGACUAAUUGGUACCUAAUUGCCUUUCGGGCUCUGUACUCCUUUCGGCAGCUUCUGCCACUUUUCUGGCGUCAUGAAUGCCUUUUUCGCUCCUUUGGAUGAUCUCUUGCGCCAUUCCUCGGCCGCCGUCGUUCCAGAUAUCAGUAAAAAAUUUGCCACCAACCACGCUUGCUUCGGCCGAGGGGUCCUUGACGUCUUCGGAAGAUAAGGUAGCUUCGGAUUGAGCUAAAAAUUUUACAUGCCCGCAACCUUUCUUCUCUAAGACAGAAGCAAUUCCUCUGGCGCCCGAAAAAGCGCAUAUGUCGCCACGACUGUUCAGAAUCUCUUCGAAGGCCUCUGCUUCGUGGCUAAUCCAUUCCAGCGGACCUUCGGGAUUGCCUCGAGAGAAAUUCUCUUCGCUGGAAAAGGCGCCUGCGCUGGCGAAGCUGGAUUUAAUUUUAUUCACACAUUCUACAGAUUUGACAUAGCAUUUCCCCUGAGAUGUGCGAAGCUCCUUAACUUUUGAUUCCAAUUUGCUGACUAUAAAAUCACUAAGUUCUCGUUUCGUUUCCUCAAGCGCGCGCUCCUCUUUAGCUCUAGCCAGCUGUUUCUGAAGAUCUUUAAUCUCGCGUUUUUGAGCUUCGGCCUGGGCCUUUGAAGUAGCUUCGUCUUUUUUCACUUUAUCUACCAGUGUAAGCAGAAUUUUAUCUUUUUCCAAAGCUUCGUUUCUCAGUCUGAUAACUUCGGAGCGUAAAUUAUUAAACGCAAUUUCAUAGCUUUCAUCUUCGGCGCUCUUUUGGGCUCUUAGUGCGUUGCUUAGGAUCAGGCCCUAUACGAAAAAGAAUUCAUAUAAGAAAAAAGGAAUGAGUUGCGUAAAAAUAAGGGGGUUUUUCAAGUGUUUAAUUCCUAUACCUUCAGGCUGUUGUACGCAAGACUGUCUGCGAGAUCUUCUUUCGUCAUGGCGCUUAAUCCAGAUUCAAGCUUCGGGAAACCAAUACUUCUGGCCAUUUCUCGGCAGACAGAUAGCUCUUUGUUGUCAGGCAGGCAGUAUAAGAAGUCAUCUUCAUUCGUUCCAUUGAAUAUUACUGCCCCCUUCGGAUAUUUUAGUUCCUUUGCAUAAUGGAUGGCUUCAUGAGUUUCUUCUUCAGAUAGCUUCUUCCCCGAAGCAUGUCGUAUCAUGUAAUCACGCAUGCUGGCAGGUGCUUCGGGGAUGGCGGUGUCAGUUUCUUCAACUAAUACUGGUUCUGGAAUUUUUAUUGCUUCGACUUCAAAAGGUUGCUCCUUGUAGGGCUCUGAAGGCCCAGCUUCAGCUUCAGCUUGUUGAGCCGAAGCUUCAGUAGAAGCUUCAGCAACUUCAACACUCUUUUUUGGAAUUGUGCUUGAAGACUUAAUUGUCUCCAAGACGUCUAGUACAUUUACCAUUCUUUUCCUUUUUGGGGUCACUGAUGGCCCCUUUUGGUUUUUUGCUGUUUCAAUAUUUACUGCAGGACUCAAAACUUCUAAUGUUUUUUCCUUAGUCGGCUUUUUCGCUUCUUCCAUUUUUUCUGUGGAUGGUGCUUCGGCCAUCUCUGCAGUUUCUGGCAGCAAGGUUGGCUGUUCAGCUUCGGUGGCCGAAGAAGCUUCUCCGGUGAACUCAGGCACCGAAGCUGGUUCAAUAUAGCGUGGCCGGUGUGUGAGGACUUUUAUCCUCUUUCUCUUUGAUUCUGGCUCGCUAGGAGCAGUUGCAGCUUCCUCUUCUGCAGAGGUUGUGUUCUUUCUUUUCUGCCCUCGAGUGGGAUAACGAUAGUCAGGGUAAAAGAACCCAAUUGCAUCAAACACCCGAUUGAGUCUCUUCUUUUUUCGGCCUCCGAAGGCUGCUGAUAACGCAGUGUUCUCAGCCUUCGAAUAUGCGCCAAGAAGUUCGUCACUUAAUAUUUCAAUGUUUUUCAACCAGUCGUCGUCAGGUUCGACAAAUUUGUCCCCAUAUUUGAAUGUGUAUUUUAAUCUGACUAGUCCGCCUUCGUCGGACUCUUUGAUGGUUUCCUUCGGCAUUUCCCACUUUUCUGCAAGUGGCCAUACCCUGAAGGCAAUAUGUUCUUGGACCAAGUCCCUUGUCCCAAUAAACGAGCAGACUACUCCGAAGGCCCUUUGGCAUUCUUCGGCAGCUUCGUUCAUUUCGACCUUCGGCCUUCGAAGACCGAAGCGUUGCCAGAUUGGUCGCAUAAUGAUAUUCUUCACAUUCUCUUGAUCUGAUAGGUCAUUCUUCACAUAAAACCAUUCCGUCAUCCAGGCUCCGGGCCACCUCUUCCGAAAGGUCGGCACAGGGCAGCUUGACCCGGAGCGCGCGCCGAAGCUGUAGCACCCAAAGUUGUUGUGAUAUUGCUCCUUUCCCCAGGGCUUCGUCUCGUAUAAUAACUCAUGAAUGUUACAGAAGCUUUUAGCGUUUGGUUCCAAACCUUGGCUCCUUGCAGCCCAGACAAAUAUCCCCAUUCUUAUAAUGGCUUCAGGAGUAAUUUGAUGCAAGAAGAUUUGAAAUGUUUUCAGUACCUCAAUAACGAAGUUGCUUAAGGGAAAUCGAAGCCCAGCUUUGAGAAAGCUUCGGAAGAUUACGACCUCAUCUUCUUCGGGGGUGGGGGUAGUCUUUUCUCCAGCAUCAGCCCUCACAAUAGUUAUAUCUCGAAAGUAUCGCCCCCUCAUAUUAUCAAUAUGGCUCUGUUUGAUGGCGGUUUUCCCAAAAACCGCGUGACUUGGUCGCCACGGUCGAUCUUCGGCCUCUUCCCCGCCACUUUCUACAUCAAAACUGUCGCUGUCAUCAGUGUCUUCGGACAGACCUUCAAGAAUUUCCUUGGUGAUCUUCUCUGUAUUGGUCUCCGCCAUCGCCAUAAUGAACCCCAAGUUUUUUUCUUCCUCAAGACUCAGCUUCGUCUCAGCAGCGAUCUUCUUACCUUCAGGCAUCUUCGGAAGCGCUCAAAAACUGUUUCUAAGUCCGAAGCUUAAAAAUCAAAAAGAUCAGCAAAUCUUAGUGCACAAGAGCUAAAAAUUUUAGUGGGCCGAAGCAGAAGGCAAGUGUGCGUACCAAAUCAGUUCGCGAUGUGAUCUUAUUUAUACGCCUAGGGCGUUGAAAAUUGAAAGGCCCCGCUUGUCAGUAGAUGUUGCUAUUCUAGCAAAGGGAAGGUGUUUUUUCGGACCUUCGGCUCAAGGCCUUCGUCCAUAUCGCAAUCUGAAUUUAUUAUUUACAAAUUAAUAUUGCGAGGGGCUACUGUUGGGGGCCUUCGUCCUCCGAAGGUCCUCAAAAACAUGAUUUGACAAUGUUUUCCGAGUGGAUUAUGUGAACAGGUAUUUUCGGAUCCAGAAUUAUGAAUAUGGAGCACGGCCAGGACGAAGCCUGAACCAGACGAAGGUCGAGUGUAGCCGAAGCUGUGCGCAGGGAAGCUUCGGCGCGAUGGCAGAAGGGGGAACCGACUUAAAGAUGAAAAGACUUCGGGGGCCUCGACAGAUUUCCAUAAGCCGUUAACAAAUGUAAUGGACAUGGAUGUAAUUUUACGUGGGCUGCGUCCCGCGUCUAUAAAUAGAUGAACAGUACUCCCGUACUGUUCACGCUGACUUGGCAUUGGCUUUUGCAUCACGCUUGUACUUUUUACCUUCUCUCAGGACCAAAGGUACAUUUGUAAUUUAAAAUCAUUUCUAUUUCUCCAUGUUAAUAAAAUAGAAAUGAUUUUAUGUUGAUGUUUGUAUUUCAUGCUUUAUAUGAAUCCUUCGGCAUUACUUAUUAUAUUCCCGAAGGUAUGUCUAUGAUAACCUUCGUCCUAAAUCAUUAUUUCCCGAAGGGACAUAAUGUUUUGAAGGACGAAGGACCUUAAUGUGUAACACUUUUUAUGUUGCCUUGUUCUUAAUUCGAAGCAUUUGAGAACAAGUCACCAACAGUGGAUAAGGUGGAUCUUUACUUUGUAAUUCAUCUUGGUAUUGAGUAAUUGAUUACUUGCUUACUUGCUGCAAAUUAAUAUUUAAGGAAGAAGUUGGGAACCAUGUGGUUGCUUAUGCACGGUUGGCCUGCAUUGUCCAACUGUUGUUUGUUCUUUUUACUUGCUGAGAUGUGUCAUCUCACUCUUGCAUUGUCUGAUGCAGGCACCUGAUCUUUGCUUUGGGAAAGAAGGGAUGUAGCAGCACGGCCACCACACUUUUAAAUAAAGGAAUAACUGUUUAUUAAUGAUGUUAAACAGGAAGGGUCAAGUCUAGGGAAUUACUACAUUCUAAUCUUUCAUGGUAGUUGAACUGUUUAGUUUGGUGGGCUGAGAUGUCUAUCUUUUGUCUGGUCAUGAAUGUUCUUUUCUACCGUUGCAUUUUGAUUAUACUAUGGCAAUUAUCUUUCUUUUAUAUCCUGUAUAAACUAUAUGCUUCCCUUGUUAUGCUACUUUCAAGGGAGGUGCUGCCGGAUUUUGCAGUACUUUCUUUCUCUAUGUGUUGCAUGAGUCUUGUAGAAAGGUUUUUUUUGGUAUCAUCCAUUGUGUGGGAUCAGUGGGGUGUUACAGUUGGUAUCAAAGCAUAGGCUGUAGGUCCUAGCAAGUGGAGUAGUAAUAAAUUGACACACUGCACAUGUAGGAUGGGUUUUCGGUCUUGCUAUUGAUAUGAUUAUGUUAUUCUCUGUGCUAGUUUUGACAUUAUCUAGAGAGAUGCUAUGCUUAUCUCAUAUACUUAUUAUUCUCAUCCCUGUGGAUACAGCUAUGCCGCCUCGUAGAGCUCGGGGUAGUCCGCAAGCUCCUAGUGGGGACUCGAUGAGUCCGGCGGCAAUGUUAGCCACGAUGCAGGCCAUGCAGCAGGAGUUGGCCCUUCUGAGGCAAGCCAUUCCUGUCGCCCCUGCAGGUGCUGCUCAGGGAGCUGGAGGUGGAGAAGUGCCCGGGGGCGCUGUCCCUGCGGGUGCUGUUCCUGGUGGCGGGGCCGGGGUGCCUCUUCCUGUCAGUGGUCUUUCUCUGAUGCAGUGGAUGGGCAUGAAGUUGGAUUCUUUUGAUGGCAGUGGUACUCCGGUCGAGGCGGCAGAUUGGCUGACUUAUGUGGAGGAUAAGAUGAAUGUCUUCGAGAUUGCUUAUGAAGAUCGGGUUCGCUUUGGCACUCAGCUGCUGAAGGGUGAGGCGCAGAUUUGGUGGAGAGGCGUGCAGGCAGCGCACUCCUCCUCACCAGGAGUCCUAUCAUGGGAUGUUUUCAUCAGGCAGUUCGAAAGGAGAUUCUACCCGGUCACCUUUCUGGAGAAAAUGAAGAUUGACUUGCAGUCCUACAAGCAGGAGAAGAAGUCUGUCACAGAGUAUGAGGUGGGCUUCAACAAAAUGGUCCGCUUUGUCCCUCAUGUGGCCUAUAAUGAGAUGGAGAAGGCGAGCCAAUUCCGUCAGGGUCUGAAGCCUUCUAUCAGGCAUGCUCUGGGGGCCUUUCCGUUGGUGGACUUCCGUACCACAGUGGAGCAGGCGCUGGGUGUGGAGAUGCAACACCAGUACACCAUGGAGUCGCAGAAGUCUUCGGGUGUUGAUCAACCUCGUAGCCAGGACACGAGGAGGGGCAACACUGGAGGUCCAGCUCACAAGAGGGGCAAGUCUCAGCAUCAGCGCCACCAUCCUUACCGUGGCAAAUCUUCUGACUCAGGUACUUCAGGAGGAAGUACUCAGAGGUUUCGGGCCGUUCCUAAGCCCGGGUUGGGGCUGGUGUGUUUCCGCUGUGGAGAUGCGCAUCGCCGUGCAGAGUGUCAGUGGAGUGGCAGGUGUUCUAUCUGCAGUCAGGACCACAAGGAUGUGGUGUGUAGGAGGAAUCCCAAUGGGAAGCUCAGAUGGGAGCCGAUAGCUUCCUCCUCUUCUCAGGGCACUAUCAAUAUGAUGUCAAGUGCUGAGCAGCAGUUUUCAGUUCCUCUUCCUCCACAGCAGCUUUAUGUGCCCGGGACUUCUCAGUUCGUGCCGAUGCAAGGUUUUCCGCAGUAUCAGGUUGUGCCUACUCCUGCGCCGUCUACCCCUGUGCUGUCUCAGUUUGGAGCUCCGCGCCAGCCUCCUCCGGUGGCUCAGUGGGGUUCUUCUGUUAAUUUCACUCCGGGAGCUUCCUCUUCUGCGGGUAUUUCUGGAGCUUAUGUGCUACCCGCUACGGAUGGCAGGGAGCAAGGAGACGUGGUGACAGGUACGAUUUCAGUUGAUUCAUUUGCAGCCCAUGCUCUUUUUGACUCUGGCGCUAGCUAUUCGUUUGUUUCAGAGGAUUUUGUGUCGCGGGCUGGUCUUUCGGUGCAGAGGUUGGGUCACCCAAUUUUGGUCAGUUCUGCUAAUGGCUCCAUUAGUAGCUGUUCAGUUUGUCAGGGGUGUUCCGUCAUUCUUGCUGAUGAGGUUUUUUCGGCUAAUCUGGUGGUGAUUUCCUUGGGGGCAUUCGAUGUUAUCUUGGGUAUGGAUUGGUUAUCCCAGUAUCGCGCGGUUAUAUCCUGCUUCUGGAAGACAAUGUUAUUGCAGGCGCCGUCGGGUAAGGAGGUGGUAUUCUUGGGGAGUUCUCCGAAGUUCACAUUAUCCUUGUUGGCGCAAUUGCUUCCUGAUCGCUGGUCAAGGAAGUCGGGGAUCUUUUUCUCUAUGGUGGUGGAGGGCGAGGCUGCCUUGCGGGUGCAGGACAUCCGGGUGGUGUGUGACUUUGCUGACGUGUUUCCAGCAGAGCUUCCAGGCAUUCCUCCGGAGCGCGAUGCAGCUUUUGAGAUUAAGCUGAUUCCGGGUACGCAGCUUAUUCAUAAGGCCCCGUAUCGAAUGGCUCCAAAGGAGCAGAUUGAAUUAAAGCGGCAAUUGGAUGAUCUGCUGGCUAAGGGCUUCAUUAGGCCUAGCAGGUCUCCAUGGGCUUCCCCAGUAUUGUUUGUUGAGAAGAAGGAUAAAAGCAAGCGACUGUGUGUGGAUUAUCGCGCUUUGAAUCAAGUGACAAUCAAGAAUAAAUAUCCGCUUCCCCGAAUUGAGGUCCUCUUUGAGCAGUUGAGGGGUGCCCAGGUGUUCUCCAAAAUUGAUUUGAACUCUGGUUAUCAUCAAUUGAGGAUUCGUGAGGAGGAUAUUGAGAAGACUGCCUUCUGCACCAGGUAUGGGCAUUAUGAGUUCAUAGUCAUGUCCUUUGGCUUAACUAAUGCCCCUGCUGCGUUUAUGGAAGCAAUGAAUAGGAUGCUGCAUGAAUUCUUGGACGAUUUUGUGGUCGUAUUCCUAGAUGAUAUUUUGAUUUAUUCAAAGACCGAGGCCGAGCAUGAUCAGCAUCUCCGUCUCGUUCUGGGUGCCCUAAGGAAGAAUCAAUUCUAUGGCAAGUUGAAGAAGUGUGCCUUUUGGCUAUCUGAAGUGGCUUUCCUGGGGCACGUGAUUAAUCAGCAGGGUAUUGCGGUUGACCCCAAGAAUGUUGCGGCUGUAGUGGAGUGGAAGAGACCUUCUAGUGUCUCUGAAAUCCGAAGUUUCUUGGGGCUUGCUGGGUAUUAUCGGCGUUUCGUACCAAAUUUUUCCAGCAUUGCUAAGCCUUUGACUAGGCUCUUGGGGAAGGGUGUUCCCUUCGUCUGGUCCGGCGAUUGUGAGAUCAGUUAUCAGUCAUUGAAGAGCAAGUUGGUGGACGCCCCUAUCCUAGCUUUGCCUGAGAGCGGUAAGCGUUUCACAGUUUAUACGGAUGCUUCGCGUAUUGGUCUUGGCUGUGUGCUGAUGCAGGAAGGCAGGGUGAUUGCUUAUGGCUCAAGGCAGUUGAGGAAACAUGAGGGGAAUUAUCCAACUCAUGAUCUGGAAUUGGCUGCGGUGGUUUUUGCUCUAAAGUCGUGGAGGCAUUACCUUUAUGGCGAGGCUUGUGACAUUUUCACUGAUCACAAAAGUCUCAAGUAUAUUUUUACUCAGAAGGAGCUGAAUUUGAGGCAGCGUCGGUGGCUAGAAUUGAUUAAAGAUUAUGAUUUGUCCAUUCAUUAUCACCCGGGGAAGGCUAAUGUGGUGGCGGAUGCCCUUAGCAGGUCCGGGGUUCCAAAGGUGGCCUUGUCGUUGAUCGCUGAUCUGGACCGUUUGGGGAUCGCUUUGUGUUAUGUCGGCACCGCUAGCGAGGAGACUCAGAUGCUUAUUCAAUCCUCACUUAUGGAGAGAGUGUGUGCGGCUCAGCAGCAGGAUCGUCUUUUGCAGGAAGCCCGAAGGAGGGUUGGUGAUGGUAAACCGCGGGAGUUCACCAUUGAUGAGAAUGAUUUGGUUCGUUUCAGGGGCCGUCUUUGUGUGCCUCAGAAAUCAGAGGUGAAGCUGGAUAUCCUGCGAGAAGCUCAUAAAACGCCUUACACCGUCCAUCCUGGCGAAACCAAAAUGUACCGAGAUUUGAAGCAAACCUUCUGGUGGAAGCGGAUGAAGGUUGACAUUUCUAAGUAUGUGGCCGCCUGUGAAGUAUGUCAGCGCGUGAAGGCCGAACAUAAGCGGCCUGCAGGUUUGCUGAAGCCAUUGGAAAUUCCAGAGUGGAAAUGGGAGCAUAUCACCAUGGAUUUUGUGGUGGGUCUACCUCGUUCCCCUCGUGGCAGGGAUGCUAUUUGGGUGGUAGUGGAUCGCUUGACUAAGUCUGCGCAUUUUAAUCCCAUGAAGACCACGAAUUCAGCUUCAGAUUUGGUUCCCUUGUAUAUGAAGGAAGUAGUCAGGCUUCACGGGGUACCUAAGUCUAUUGUUUCUGAUCGAGACUCCAAAUUUGUAUCCAAAUUCUGGGAGAGUCUCCACAGUGCAUUGGGCACCAAGCUUUCGCUUAGUGUCGCUUUUCACCCUCAGACGGAUGGUCAGUCAGAGCAAACAAUCCAAACCUUGGAGGAUAUGUUGCGUGCUUGUGUUCUGUCAUGGAAGGGUAGCUGGGAGGACCAUCUUGCUCUGGCAGAGUUUGCGUAUAACAACAGCUACCAAGCUAGCAUCAAGAUGGCACCAUUUGAGGCUUUGUAUGGCAGGCGGUGUAUCUCUCCUCUGUGCUGGGAGACUUUGGGAGAGAGAUCCCUGGUUGGUCCUGAUUGGGUUCAGCAAACUUCUGAAAAGGUUCGGGAAAUUCGUCAGAAUAUUUUGGCAGCUCAGAGUCGUCAGAAGAGUUAUGCUGAUGUGAGGAGGCGGGAUCUAGAAUUUGCUGUGGGUGACCAAGUCCUUCUCAGGGUAUCACCCACUAAGGGAGUUAUUCGGUUCGGUGUCUCUGGGAAGCUCAGUCCAAGAUACAUUGGACCGUUCACUAUCUUGGCCCGGGUGGGCAGCUUGGCUUAUCGCUUGCUACUGCCGGAUUCCAUGGCAGGGGUACACCCGGUUUUUCAUGUCUCUAUGUUGAGGAAGUUCUUGCGGGAUCCGGACCAUCAGAUUGAGAUGGAACCAAUUGCGGUGCAGCAGGAUCUGACUCUGGAGUGCCGUCCGGUGCGUAUAUUGGAAUUCUCGGAGCGUGUGUUGAGGAAGAGAUCAAUUAAGUAUGUCAAGGUUUUAUGGUCUAAUCAGUCAGAGCGCGAGGCUACGUGGGAACUUGAGGAGUUGAUGCGGCAGAAGUACCCGGAACUUUUCGUUGUGGGUAAGUGUUGUUGAUUCGCUAAUCUUUUCUUGUGUCAUUCCGAUAGAAGCGUCAGAAUUCGAGGUCGAAUUCUUUUUAAGAGGGGUAGAAUGUGAUACCUGGUUUGCAAAGAAGAGAAGUUGGGGGCUGUUCUUUUUGUUUUUUUCCCUCAUCCAGUUGUUGUUUUGGGGAUUUGGAAUUUUUGUGAGCAACAUUCGCAACUAGGGCAGUAGAAUUUAUUUGGUUUGACGUUUGCGUUGCAGUCGGGAGCUGUCGCGUGGGUUAGUUGGGCCGCAAUUGGUGUUUUGGCCCAUUAGCCUCCCAAACCCUAGCCGCCACCCUCCUAACUACCCCUCCCCAUGUGCAGCCGCCCCCCCCCCCCCACUUCUCCUUUCCCCUUGGCCGCCGCCCCCCCCCCCUGCCCACCUCCUUCUCCCUCCAUUGUUGCAGCCACCAAAACCCUAGCCGCCCCCCCCCCCAAUCCCCUCCUCCCUAGGUGCUACUCCGUGCCGCUCGGAUCAUCGUCUUUUGGUGCGAAUCUCCAAUCGUUUUGGUGGAAGGAAGAAGGGAGGAAGGAAAAGGGGAGAACCCAAGGUGAUUUUUCUUUUGUGUUCAUCCCUUGUUCAUUUGCGCUGCGAUUCAAUUGAUUAGAUGUUGCGUUUGCGAUUAGAUGGGGGGGGCUGUCCAGAAUUUUGCGUGGUGGAUGAACAGCGGUAGUUCCAGCAGUUUUUAGUUUUUUUUCGUGAAGAUUUAAUGGGGAUCAAUUUGGGAAUCUUGUAGAACUUUGUUUUAUCUUUCCAACGAGUAUUUAUGCGCUCAAUUUGGAGUUAUAAAUUAAAAGUUAUCAUCGUUUGAAUCCGGGUAUGUGGCUGUCCAGAAAACAGAUUUUUCAGAGUGAUGAACAGCAGCAGUGUUAGCAGUUUCUGGGGAUUUUUCGGGAGCAAUUAGUGUUAAUCAGUAUGAGAAUCUUGUAGCACUUUGUUUUAUCUUUCCAACGAGUAUUUAUGCGCUCAAUUUGGAGUUAUAAAUUAAAAGUUAUCAUCGUUUGAAUCCGGGUAUGUGGCUGUCCAGAAAACAGAUUUUUCAGAGUGAUGAACAGCAGCAGUGUUAGCAGUUUCUGGGGAUGUUUCGGGAGUAAUUAGUGUUAAUCAGUAUGAGAAUCAUGUAGGGCUUUUUCUUAUCUUUCCAACAAGUACUUAUGCGCUCAAAUCGGAAUUAUAUUUUAAAAGUUAUCGCUGUUUGAAUCCGCGUAUGUCGCUGCUCAAAUAAAAAAAAACAGAUUGCAGGGUUUAUUUUGAGGACAGUUUAGAGGUAAGUAGAUGUUAGAAUUCAAUCAUGAGUUGUAUACAAAACUUGUGGGGAAUUUUAUGUAGUUGUCUCUGAAGUUUUUGUUUAUCAUCACUGCUGUCCUAAAUUUUAAGUUAUGGAAUUGUUAAGCAGCGCCGCUGCAGUUUGGUUAGUGAGGGGAGAGUUGUUACCGCGGCGGGGUUUGAAAUUGCGCGUAGGUGCGGUGUUGUCUUUGAGUUUUUUUUCAUGAGAAUUUGGUGCACUAAGUUGGGUGUCAAAAACAGGUGGUGGACUUCCGGAUCGUUCUUAGGGAUUUUGCCCGAACUUCGGUAGAGGCAAGUAAAACGGUGAUGGUUAUUUCGUCUUUUGAUUGAAGAGGCUCAUACUUGAUUAUGUUUGUGCUAUUUGUGUUCGUAUCCAUAUUCCUAAUUGGGUACCAUCGUUUGAAAUUAUUCAUGCUUUAUUGAUUAUACAUGUGGAGGGUGUGGUUUGAUCAUGUUACCCAUGUGGUUAUUGAUGUGAAAUGGGUGGAAGUAUAUGUCUAGCACAUUUUAUUUGGGAAGAACUCAUGUUGUUGACAUGCAUAAUGCAUUCAUCAUCCAUUGCAUUGAAGUUUUCGUCGCGAUCUUAUGGUCCGACCGUACCGGUACAAUGAGCAUCAUAUGUUUCCCGAGAAGGGGUAUGAUGCAGCUUCAUAUCCUUAGAGGUAUGAAGGCAGAAGUCAUGUUGCAUCUGUAGCCAUGUGCAUUCAUGGGUGAAGUGUGGAACCUAUUUUGGUGAUGUGGAUAAGGUGGAUCUUUACUUUGUAAUUCAUCUUGGCAUUGAGUAAUUGAUUACUUGCUUACUUGCUGCAAAUUAAUAUUUAAGGAAGAAGUUGGGAACCAUGUGGUUGCUUAUGCAUGGUUGGCCUGCAUUGUCCAACUGUUGUUUGUUCUUUUAACUUGCUGAGAUGUGUCAUCUCACUCUUGCAUUGUCUGAUGCAGGCACCUGAUCUUUGCUUUGGGAAAGAAGGGAUGUAGCAGCACGGCCACCACACUUUUAAAUAAAGGAAUAACUGUUUAUUAAUGAUGUUAAACAGGAAGGGUCAAGUCUAGGGAAUUACUACAUUCUAAUCUUUCAUGGUAGUUGAACUGUUUAGUUUGGUGGGCUGAGAUGUCUAUCUUUUGUCUGGUCAUGAAUGUUCUUUUCUACCGUUGCAUUUUGAUUAUACUAUGGCAAUUAUCUUUCUUUUAUAUCCUGUAUAAACUAUAUGCUUCCCUUGUUAUGCUACUUUCAAGGGAGGUGCUGCCGGAUUUUGCAGUACUUUAUUUCUCUAUGUGUUGCAUGAGUCUUGUAGAAAGGUUUUUUUUGGUAUCAUCCAUUGUGUGGGAUCAGUGGGG
rnacentral:lncRNA from 1 species